GACGGAGAUUCUAGCUGGAUUCCUGACAGAGCAUUCUCUGUGUCUUAGCCCCCUGAGCUCUUGGGUGCUCGCUCUGCCUCCACUAAGCCUUCCCUGCCCAGCAGCAAACAAUCAGUUGCAAGCUGCUCCCCCACCUCCAGCCCUGCUGACUGCCAAUCAGCUGGGCGGCAGGGGGUGGAAGGAAGUUCCACUCCCUGCUGAACCUGCACUGAGGUACUCAAAAUGACUGAGUGGGGCUGAUGACGACCUGGCAGGCCAGGGACUGCGUUGCCAUCAGAAGGGGUGAAGGGUCAUGGCAUUUCUCUAACGUUGUGCCUCUCCCAGCUGGCAGCAGCCUCUCCAGCCUGGCCAUGACCCUGACAUCCAAGAGAACCUUGCACAGUUUGGGAAUAGCUUCUCUGAGCCAAGCCUUACUCUGCAACCUGCAAGUGAAAUGAGAGGAAAUUCAAGAGACCAAGAUACAAAGCCAGACCAAAGGAUUUUACUGCCCCUUCAUUCCCACUAGAGAUAAAGAUUACUGGUACACUGGU